rnacentral:ncRNA from 1 species
UACGGUGGCCCGGGAGGGCCUUAAUAGGGAAUCGGGUGAGAAUCCCGGACUGUGCCCGCAGCUGUGUUAUCCUUAACCGCUCCAAAUUAUGCCAUUGAAGACAGCUCUUCGAGAAGGCCGGAGAGGGGAGAAGUCAGAAGACCUGCCGCAAUC